UUUAAAUUGAGAGUUUGAUCCUGGCUCAGGACGAACGCUGGCGGCGUGCCUAACACAUGCAAGUCGAGCGAUGAAACUUCCUUCGGGAAGUGGAUUAGCGGCGGACGGGUGAGUAACACGUGGGUAACCUGCCUCAAAGAGGGGGAUAGCCUCCCGAAAGGGAGAUUAAUACCGCAUAACAUUAUUUUAUGGCAUCAUAAAAUAAUCAAAGGAGCAAUCCGCUUUGAGAUGGACCCGCGGCGCAUUAGCUAGUUGGUGAGGUAACGGCUCACCAAGGCAACGAUGCGUAGCCGACCUGAGAGGGUGAUCGGCCACAUUGGAACUGAGACACGGUCCAGACUCCUACGGGAGGCAGCAGUGGGGAAUAUUGCGCAAUGGGGGAAACCCUGACGCAGCAACGCCGCGUGAGUGAUGAAGGUUUUCGGAUCGUAAAACUCUGUCUUUAGGGACGAUAAUGACGGUACCUAAGGAGGAAGCCACGGCUAACUACGUGCCAGCAGCCGCGGUAAUACGUAGGUGGCAAGCGUUGUCCGGAUUUACUGGGCGUAAAGAGUAUGUAGGUGGGUGCUUAAGUCAGAUGUGAAAUUCCCGGGCUCAACCUGGGAGCUGCAUUUGAAACUGGG
rnacentral:rRNA from 1 species